UGUGAUCCAGACAGCUAAGAGAAGACA
rnacentral:piRNA from 1 species